CACACACACGUAACCCCCUCCCUUCACACUCGUUCACCCCCCAAUUAGCCACGUUACCCACUCCUUACCGCUAUUCACUCACCAUCACCAUUCCCUUUUUCCUUUUAUCCCCACCCACACCCACGCAACAAAAGAAAGAAAGAAAUCAGAAAGGGAAAGAAUGGAAACUGGGGGGGCUUGAGGGGAAAACAGAGAUCAGAGGGAGAGUGUGACGGAACAGAGGAAGGAGGAUCGCCGGGCUGUGCUGCUCCCUGCGCCGGUUGUCAUCGCUGCCGCGAGAGCUAGAGAAGGAGAGAAGUAAAAGCGCGAAGACAGAGAGAUCAACGGAGACGUUCACGCUGUUCGUCCUUGUCACUGCCAUGCGUUGCCGCCGCCGCCGUUAGUUCAGCUGCCGUCGAGCUCGCAUCAACCGUCGCCAUGGAAACUGCCACCAUCAUCUCCAAAGCCGCGUCAUCGAUUAGGUUAGGGAGAAGGAGAAUCGCGAGCAACCAGAGGAGGAGAAGAACGCGUGGUGGUGGGUGUUCUCUUAGCCAUCGCCACCACCGGAGUCACAAACCAAGGUGGAGGAGAAAGCCAUCUUCCCCGUUGCUGUUAUAGUCGUCCGUACUACUGCCGCUGAAGGAAGGCCGUUCAGUCACCCUCAUCAAGUUGCAUGUGGCUGUUAGAGCUCCUUGUCUCUGCUCUGAUCGUCGGAAGUCACCGACGAAGUUUUGGUCGCCUCAUUCCACUAUUCUUUUGAAUUCCGGUUGUGUAAAUGCCGCUGCAAAUUGUUCGAUGAUAUUGCUAUUGUGGAGAGUUGUUGGUGAGGCUAAUGCCACUGCUGUUGCUAAUCCGGUUUGAGGCUGUUGCUACUGCUGCGAGUUAGAACGAAGUUGGGGUCACGCCUAACUUUGUGGGUUUCGACUAACUAAGUGACAGGUUCAGAGACUCAGUUUGAAGUCGCGGGCGAUUAGGAGUUUUAUUUAAGUUUAUGUGUUGAGUUGCUUUUAUAGAAUUCCCUCGCCCUUGUUUUUUUUUUAUUUUAU